rnacentral:tRNA from 1 species
GCAUCCAUAGCUCAGCUGGAUAGAGCACCGGUUUUCUAAACCGUAGGUCAUAGGUUCGAAUCCUAUUGGGUGUACGA